AUUGAACGCUGGCGGUAGGCCUAACACAUGCAAGUCGAACGGCAGCAGACCGUGACAAUCCCUUCGGGGUGCGUUUGGUGCUGGCGAGUGGCGGACGGGUGAGUAACACGUAGGAAUCUGCCUAACAGUGGGGGACAACCCGGGGAAACUCGGGCUAAUACCGGAUAAGACCACAUUUCAUAUGGAAUGUGGGAAAAGGAGUCUCAAUCUUCACUCGAGGAUGAGUUCGCGGACCAUUAGCUUGUUGGUGAGAUAAAAGCUCACCAAGGCAACGAUGGUUAGCCGGCCUGAGAGGGCGAUCGGCCACACUGGAACUGAGACACGGUCCAGACUCCUACGGGAGGCAGCAGUGGGGAAUAUUGCGCAAUGGGCGAAAGCCUGACGCAGCAACACCGUGUGAGCGAUG
rnacentral:rRNA from 1 species